CCCGGGUCUUGUACACACCGCCCGUCACACCAUGGGAGUGGGUUUCACCAGAAGUAGGUAGCUUAACCUUCGGGGGGGGCGCUUACCACGGUGAGAUUCAUGACUGGGGUG
rnacentral:rRNA from 1 species